AGAUACGAUUCUUCGUGCGAUGCUAAGCCACCAGUUUCAAAUACUUGACUGCCGAUCGCACACAUGUAUGUUAUUGCAAAUGUGACCUAUUCGAAAGCAGAAAGCACCAAAAGUUUAAAAACACACCUAACACAAUGAUUAAAUAAAUCUUAGCAUGAAAAUGCACACCUGAAAAAAAUAAAAUAAAGAUUUUGUCAGUGGUAUCAAAUAACUGACAGGAUCGAAAUAUUAACUACAAACAACAUGAUUCUAGGAACAGCAAAUCUAAUCAUUAUUUCUUAGAAAUAAGUUCCCUGUUAAUUUCAAUGAAAUUUGCAUUCUAUAAUGCACCCAGGAUCCAUGAGACAUAUGAACUGGUUCACUGUAAUAUUUAAGUAUAACUGAAAUAGUGGAUUCAAGUAAUCAUGUUGCCUUGGGAAUGGUUGCCAGAACAGGAAAUAAUCAUAAGAGUUCUUGUUAAUGCAAAAGGGCAGUAAUUAAAAGCAGUAGGCCUAGGCAUAUUUGCUCGAGCAAUCUGGAUUGUUUUACUAAACUAUUUUUUGAAUAAUGUCGGCAACUCAGGGUAUAAUUACCAGGCGCUUGCAUUCUCCUGGUAUCAUAUUAUAGCCAAGUAAUGGUGGCUAAGGUUUGGGGGUGUUGAUGUGUGGUGUACAGGUGAGUAUGAAACAUCUGUCAGGGAUAAGGAUACAGAUAGUGGAGGAGAUGGUAACUCUUGAGAUACUAGUGGGUCAUAGGACCAUAAGGGGAGGGAAAGGCCCAUUAGUGGAGUCCAUUAGCUGGAAGACAAGUCAUAAAAAGCCAUGGAGCUCAUAUCUAACCAAAGGAAACGUUACUCAGAAAUCCUACAGACUUUGAACCUUUGGAUGUUGCGUGUCGAGGUCCUCAAGCCACCCCCCAAUAACUCACACAUCACACAUCAAUUUUGGUUUGGGUUUUUGGCACUAUUUUGGCCACAGCUUUAUUUAAAUACAUCCAAGUGAGUGGUUGCUUAGGCAUUGCUUCUGACUAUCUAUCCUUGCCUAGGGGACAGGACUGACUUCCGGAUUCCAGCGGAAGCCAGUCAGGGAAACAAAUUUUGGGGAGAAAAUGAAGCUGGGCAUUAGUCCCUCACUUCUCACCCUCAUGCUCCUGGUGGCUUGCACGGCCCAAGUCUGAUGCCAGGGACAAGGACGAAAAGAAUGGCAAGCCCCUGGAUUCCUUUAACGGAAUUCCCUUUUCGCACCACCAUUGAAGGGGUAGGCACUUACCCCUCCACCAACCAAUUUGAACCAAUGCCUAACCGCCAACCUUACAAGUUGUGAUGAUUUGCUACACAGUAGGCAAAACCAAAUGGCACCAGCCAAUCAGCCAAAUGGACAAAUUCCUACCAGGCCCCUGCCUCAAAGCAGACGACCCCAUGACAGGCAUAGCAAGGUCAAGCGAACAACCCCCCCAAUACAGGGAGGGUGGGCGGGUGAUCCGGUGCAAGCAGCCAAGAGAACGCUCAAAGUUGGGCGACCAGUAUUUAAAACCUCUGACCCCUCCUUCAAAAUUGGCAACAAGCAGUUCUCCCCAGUGACCCGAUUAACCAGUUCACUGCCUGGGUCCCUCUACAAAUCCGCCCAGCAACAAUGGGGUGGCUUGUAUCCCCCACCGCAACACGCGCUCUCUGCUAGGGAGAAUACGUUUUGCUGGACUGCAACUUCAUCUUCUCUAGUCUUUGGCCGUAGUGGCUAGGGCUGAUGGGAGUUGGCUCCCCACAGGUUUCUCACCCCUGCUUCAGCAGAUUCAAGCAGAGAUGCAAACAGGAUUUCCUGGGCCUUGUACCCUGGAGGUAAAUAGGAGCCUCCUCUGCCCUCACAAAAGAGGACACAAAAUUGCAUAACAUAUUUGUGUGCUUUGUGACAUACGAAGUUUUUGCAUCCAGUUUUGCAGGUGACCCUAAAAUAAAUGAGGCCACACACAAGUAAUAUGAUAUAUGACGGACAGAAUGUCAACAAGUGAAGCUCCGUACUAGAAAAGACUUAACCUGUUGAAUUUAUGCCUAUCACACAACUGUUAAAAGCACAAGCCUUGUUUUCCUGCAAUGCCAACCAUAAACUGUGCAAAGGACGCAACUGGUUUGUAGUAUAUGGAACAUAACAUUUCUGUAGCUCUCUCAUCAACUGAUCUUAUGCUGGCAAUGUUAUAUUAACAGCAGGAUCAGGCUAGGCAUUUCAGUAGCGGGGGGGUGGGGGGUGUCAAAAGAGCUUUAAGAUAUACAGCAACUAAGGAUGCCCAUGCUUAAAUUGUUAAAAAGCAAGCAGUGUAUUCUGUUAGCAUUUGUUGUCGCAAUUUAUACCUCAUAUUACGGUAACUUUUGCAGAGGUCAAACAUCCACCCUUUCCCCUUUUUUUUCAGUAUUUGAGCCUUUGAUAUGAAUAUACCCACAAGUGUUUAUACUGGCACCAGCAACAAUCCAUCCCCAAUAAUCCCCUUAUUUUUCUCGCAUGCAUGGGAAAGCAGUUAAUUAGCCCCAUGUUGCUGCUACGGUUUUCUUAGUAGCCCCCUGAUUACAUUUCCCUAACAAGAAAAGAAAGGAAAACAAAUCAGACCAAGAGACUGGAUAACAGCACUUGACUACACUGCAGGAUUGUUGUUGCUGUUGUUGUUGUUUUAUCUCAACCGUCUUCCCCAGCAAUAUUAGUACAGCAGUGGUGGGUUGCUUAGCAGGGCUGAUGGCAGCCCAUGCUUUUGCAACCCCAAUAUUCUCACCACAUACACACCCGCCCACCCCACAAUAUGAAUAUACUAAUGAUGACAUUUAUUUGCAUUGGCAGGUUUUUCUAAAAGCAUGUUUAUGUGUUCAGAAAAGAAAACCUUUGCAUGAAAUUAAACCUGAGUUAAAGAGAGCAUGAGCCGCUGUGUUUGCUGCUCCUUGCUUGCUUUUGGGUGGACAGGCUACUACAGGCUGAUAUCUCAUGAAACAUUUGCUUAGAAUAGUGCCUGUACGUUUUGCUUCUGAACUGUUGUUCAAAUGCAAUUAGAGACUUCUUUUAAAAAAUGAAGGCUCAGAGUAUGAGUCUGCAGUAGCCCCCUGCAGGCUUUUUACCCAGUACUGUAGUGCCUCUACUAUCAGCAGCCCGUGUUCAGACUUCAAAUUAUUAUUCUUGCCUCCAUAAAAAUGGGCACCGGGAGCCCACUUGAUUAAAUGCU
rnacentral:lncRNA from 1 species